rnacentral:lncRNA from 1 species
AUCAAAGUCACAAAUAGCAAACCUAGUAUCUAUUAAGUGAAAGCAUGAAUCUAUCUAAGUUAAAUGACGAACUGUUUGACUUUCCGGAGGAUGGUUACCCUCCCUUGGACUCUUCAUAGAGAUAUUUUCAGAGCCUAUUUCAUAGGUAUUUGAAAUUUGGUCAAACAUUCCUCAUUUCAAUAUUAAUAAUUCACUUUUAUAGGGUAUAUUAUUAAAGGGAAGGAUCACAAACAAACUCACUCUAUAUUCACCAAAAGAAAUCAUGUUGAUUAGUGUGGUUAAAUAAAAUAAAUUGGGAAAAGAUAGAAUUCAGUCUGAAAUUUUUCAGUGCCGGAGACGUCUCUGGCAAAUCGCAGAGACGUCCCCCCGGCGAGACGUCUCGCGUUAGUCGCGGAGACGUCUCGGGGACCGAACGAGGGUUUUUAAAAUAGGUCGAAACAGCUCGAGCCGACCCGAGCUAUCUCUUUCGUCCCCAACAAAAUACAAAACCCUAGCCUCCAUUUUUCUCUCCACCUCAAAC